GACGAACGCUGGCGGCGUGCUUAACACAUGCAAGUCGAACGGAAAGGCCCUGCUUGCAGGGUACUCGAGUGGCGAACGGGUGAGUAACACGUGGGUGAUCUGCCCUGCACUUCGGGAUAAGCCUGGGAAACUGGGUCUAAUACCGGAGAGGAGCCAUUUUUAGUGUGAUGGUUGGAAAGUUUUUUCGGUGUAGGAUGAGCUCGCGGCCUAUCAGCUUGUUGGUGGGGUAAUGGCCUACCAAGGCGGCGCCGGGUAGCCGGCCUGAGAGGGUGGACGGCCACGUUGGGCCUGAGCUGCGGCCCAGACUCCUACGGUAGGCGGCGGUGGGGAAGAUUGCACAAUGGGCGCAAGCCUGGUGCAGCGACGCCGCGUGGGGGAUGACGGCCUUCGGGUUGUAAACUACUUUCGUUAGGGACGAAGCUUUUUGUGACGGUACCUAGAUAAGAAGCACCGGCUAACUACGUG
rnacentral:rRNA from 1 species